rnacentral:lncRNA from 1 species
GAGAAUGAAGUUGAAGCCAUGUAUAGAGACUUCGAAUUUUCUUGGGAAAGCUGAUAGGUGUAUGCUAUUAAACCAAAAGAUCCAAUUAAGUGCCCUUUAGUUCUGAUAUGAAUACAAGUUGCUGGUAAACUCAUGAAAUCAACUUGUGCAUGCCUUUUGAACUAGAUUUAGGCCACUGAUCAGAGAGAAUAGCUAAUGUAGAUACACUAUAACAAUUUUGAAAUGUGGAUAAAGAUAUGACGGUGUCGACUAAUUUCAUUCCAUGUACACAUAUUCAUUUUUUGGACAAAAAGUUGUGUAUUGAAUGAACACAUCCUAAAUUUUGCCUGUAAAGAUAUAUAUUGUAAAAAGGGUUGAGUGAUUUAAAGAAAAAUAUUUUAAAACUGUUAUUUUAGUUUGUAGCUACACUUGGUAUGAAAAUAUUUUAAAUAUUUGUGAAUGAAUAUUUAUAUAUAUAUAUAUAUGCUGACAUAUAUAAAAGGUGGACAUAAGUUUUUUUUUUUUUUUUAAAAAGAACUAAUUUCUCAAAUCCUUUAUUUAUUUAUUCUUUUUCCCUCCAUUCCCUCGUUUCUCUCACACGCCGCCCUUCUUUCUUCUCACGAACGUGAACGGCCCUUUUCCCUUCCGAUUUUCUUCUCACCGGAAUUUUCUUAUCGCCGGACGCCCCCCCAACCGCCGGACUUCUUCUUGUCGAUCGCUGCCACCAAAUUUCUUCUUCGCGGAACGCCCCACAGGAUUUCUUCUUGUCGAAAGCCGGUUUCACCCUAAACCCGUU